GAAAUCUCGUUCGACUGCACUGGUGGAUCUAGUUCUAUGUAAGUCUAUGGUACGAACCGCUGCAUGGAAGUAGAAUAUUUUAAUUAAAUACGGUAUUGUUAUUUACGCCGCAACUGGAAGUUGACUACAGGUCCACCGCUUGGAUUAAACCAAAGAGUCUGAACAGACCGCGGAUGUUUUUUGAGAAAACUGCAUUACUCAUGGAAUACUGAGUGUGGAGAAUUGCCUGGAGACAGACCUGCUGCAUAAUGAGGUCCCUGUGACAGGGACUACCCUGAGCUUUUCAAUUUGAAAUCAUCCUUCCCAACACACACAUCGGAUGCUAUCUGAGACUUCCCUGCUGUUCGCCACG